rnacentral:rRNA from 1 species
UACGGAGGGUGCGAGCGUUGUCCGGAAUUACUGGGCGUAAAGCGCGUGUAGGCGGCUCUUCAAGUCAGGCGUGAAAGCCCCGGGCUCAACUCGGGAACUGCGCUUGAUACUGUCGAGCUAGAGUGUGGAAGGGGCGAUUGGAAUUCCGUGUGUAGCGGUGAAAUGCGUAGAUAUACGGAGGAACACCAGAGGCGAAGGCGGAUCGCUGGGCCAACACUGACGCUGAGACGCGAAAGCUAGGGUAGCAAACGGG